rnacentral:tmRNA from 1 species
GUUCUUUAAAAAGAUAGAUUUACAAACUAUAUUGAAAUUGCUGGGGAUAUCCUCAGCUAUUGGGAUAAACGACUUGUGUAAUACCCAUUACGGACCCGGGGGCGGUACCCGGCACCUCCACCAUUUAUGGGGGUGAUAUAGGAUCGACGGAUGUUUAAAAGCAAGUUUUUUCCACGGCAUUGUACCGCCGUUAUCGGGCUAAUUUACAAAUGCUAACAAUAAAGUAGCACUCGCUGCUUAAGUUUACUUAGGCAAGCGCGGUUUGGGAGGCACCGGGCAACAGAAGUCUCCCACU